rnacentral:rRNA from 1 species
AACGAACGCUGGCGGCAUGCCUAACACAUGCAAGUCGAACGAGACCUUCGGGUCUAGUGGCGCACGGGUGCGUAACGCGUGGGAACCUGCCCUUAGGUUCGGAAUAACUCCCCGAAAGGGGUGCUAAUACCGGAUAAUGUCUUCGGACCAAAGAUUUAUCGCCUUUGGAUGGGCCCGCGUUGGAUUAGCUAGUUGGUAGGGUAAAAGCCUACCAAGGCGACGAUCCAUAGCUGGUCUGAGAGGAUGAUCAGCCACACUGGGUCUGAGACACGGCCCAGACUCCGACGGGAGGCAGCAGUGGGGAAUAUUGGACUGUGGGCGAAAGCCUGAUCCAGCAAUGCCGCGUGAGUGAUGAAGGCCUGAGGGUUGUAAAGCUCUUUUACCCGGGAUGAUAAUGACAGUACCGGGAGAAUAAUCGCCGGCUAACUCCG